ensembl:rRNA 5S_rRNA 5S ribosomal RNA
GUCUGUGGCUCUACCACCCUGAACAUGCCUUGUCUCCUCUAAUCUUGGAAGUUAAGCAGAGUUAGGCCUGGUUAGUACUUGAAUGGGAGACUGCCUGGGAAUACCAGGUGCUGUUGGCU